UUGAACAGCACUUGGCACCGACAGGGCUCUGUGUAAUAUUUGGAAAUGUUCAUUUCCUUCCUGUGCUCACAGCGGCAAGAGAAAAGGAACGAAACGGCGGUCCUGAGGCUAGGACGGGAGUGGUAGUUAGUAGCUUUGCUGUGUCCCAGAACUGCCCUGAAGAGAGGUCCCACCGCAGCCAGUGUUUGGAAGGCGGAAAGUUAAGUCAGAGUCCCCGCUGGUGGUGGGCAGAGGAGUAAAUGCCAGGAUGGAAAGAAGAGGGAGCCUUCUCUGGGCAUGAGGAAUGGUGGCUUCAUGCCUGGCUGAGGCUGUUCCUCCCACUCAGGUCUGCAGGAAAGGACACAACUUAUUGUAGGUAUGGCCUCCUUUCCCAUGGUUACCUCACAGUUCAAGAUGACUACUCUAGCUCCAGCCAUCACAACCACAUUCCAUCUUCCAACAUAGUACAAGAAAGCCAAGCUGCAAGACUGCACAACCUGAAUGAGAUGCAUAUCGUGAUUGGUAUUCAGGAACAGCCAAAGGGAAGAUGAUCUUUAAAUGUUAAGAAAUCAAGCACACUGCCUUCCAGCACUAAAAACUAUGAUUCUGGCAGCGAUGAAUAUCUAGCAAAAAUGGCAAAUCACUAAGAUUGUUUUGUGUCCUGAGAACUUGGGUUUAAUAACCAUCAGGUUGGGGACCCUAUGAUUUAAAGCAUUAAUAUACUUUGAUUAUUACCUAGGUCUACUAAGUAUAAGCUCACGCAAUCUCUGUUACAGAUUUGUCGACAAUAACUUGGUAUGAUAAAAACCCUUACUUAAAAGUAGUUUCCAACAUCUUUUGGUAACCUGAAACCUUAAAGUUUUACUAAGUUAAAUGAAAUGAUGGGAAUUCAUUGAAUAUCUAGAUCAUUUCCAAAUAAGACAAAAUAAGACAUUAAUUGUUUAACACAUCUAAGUUUACCUCCUUUUAUCUCCUUAUUACAGAGAAACUAAAGAUAUAUUUAGAUCUGUUGGUAACUUGUUUGAGCUUUAUUGAGAGAGUGUACUAUGAGAAACACGUUUCUAGAAAUUAUGAAGUGUAUUCAUAAAUUUGCUGAUCUAAAGAAUGCUGGUGUAACAAACAGUUCACAAUUGUUUACUGCUUAGUUUUCACCAGAAGCUAAGGUUUCCAGAAGCUAAGAAUUGUAAUUAGUAUAAUUAAAGCCAAUAGAAAUGAUAAGGUAAACAUCUCUGCAUGCAAGAAAAGUUAAGAUGUCUUUUCAGUAAAACAAGAUAUGAGGAAUGGAAAUGCAUUUUAUUGAGGGGAAAGAAAGUAAUUCUGUCCUAAAGUGCAGCUGGUUAUUUAAAGAGGGAAAACUUUGGAUAAAUCUGAAUGUAAAAAGAAAGUUGUAGGUUUGUGAAAAGGACCCAGGAAAAAAUUUUAAUGUGUGAUCAGGUUGCUAAGAUUGAAAAUAAUUUAUUUAAAAAUGAUUUUUCAUAUCAAGAUGUAAGCUGGUACAAAAUUAAAAUCUAGUUUUUAUCUCUGUUAAAAGACAAAAUGGUGGUGGACCAUUGGUCUACUCUUACUGGUAAGAGAUUGUGCUUCUCUUCACCCUUAAGGUAGUUUCCUGCAAGACAAAGUUCUGUAUUUUAUCAGGACAAUUUCCUGUGCUUCCUGUAUCUUUAUCAGGUCUUUGAUUACUUAAGAAAAACUGAGUCUUCUUAAUAUUAAAGGAGCUAAGUUUGCUAGCAACUAUGUAGCCUUCUGUACUUGUCUGUGAAGUCUUUCUUACUUUCGUUAAAUAGGUAACUAAGUAUUGUUUCAUAGUGACCCAUGUCCUAUUGGACCAAGUGUUUUAAAACUGGAUAAAAUCCUACAAAUCUGGUAAGUCAUAAUAAUGUUACCACUUGUAAUUAUUCUCUUCCCUUCUGAAAUAGCUGUCAUGAAAACUGAGGCUCACACAAAAAGAAUUGAACUUGAGCAUCAGGGAAAUGCCCGAGCUGGUUUUCAUGAGUCAUGGCACAUAUGAGUGAAGUCCAAUCUGUUUCUAAAAAAUGACCUCUCAUUGCCAGACUUUGGCAUCCUGAUAGUAACAUGACAACAGUCUGUUCCUGAAUCAGAGAAAUGAAGAUGGGGUAAUAAUGGUUUUAAGUCAACAAACAGGGUUAUGGGACUCCAGAUGGCCACUGGGUUCUUCCCUGCUCCCUGGUUUUUACAUUCCUUUGUCCACCUUAGUGUAUUUAAGGAAACUAUUUUGGUUCCCCAGAGACUUCAGACCUCUUCCCUGUGGGCUUUUUGCACACCUGCUGCUGCACUUCAUUUAACUACCACUUAGCAUGAGUUGGCAAUCUGUUCUUGUCACUGUAUAUGUCUUCUGCUUGGCGUGGAGCCUUCCUCUGUUGUGAGGCUGAUGACCUCACGGUAGCAAAGAAACUGUUAGAAACAUGUUUCCCACUCGGGGUAUACCUUCUAUAAUCUCCAGUAAUUGAGGCACCCACUUCACUGGGCACAUAAUGAAAGCCGUGCAAACUUUUCAGCCUCCCACUUAAAAUUUCUAAAACUGGUUGAAACUACUGGAUUUCCCUGGCUUAAGGUAUUGCCUUUGGGGUUGCUGACUGUUCAGUACCCCCUUAUUGAAAACAUAAACUCACUCAAUAUGAGAUAGUCAUUGACAGAACAAUGUCUAUUAGUAUACAACCUUUUGCUGAUCCCUUGUUGUCUCAUUGUAGUCUGCAAGUUUUUAAUGUCUUAUGCUAAAGCUUAUCAUCAAUAGGUUAAAAAAGCCUCCCAGAGGCCAGUUCAAAGGAUCCUGUUGGUCAUAGUGAGACAGGGACCGUGGAUGUACUCAGAGUAGGGUGAGGGCCUCUGGAGGGGGCAGGGCGGGAUAUUUGCAGUCAGAGCAAUGUAACUACAU